ACCUGGAAACAGAUGCUAAUACCGCAUAACAACUUGGACCGCAUGGUCCGAGUUUGAAAGAUGGCUUCGGCUAUCACUUUUGGAUGGUCCCGCGGCGUAUUAGCUAGAUGGUGGGGUAACGGCUCACCAUGGCAAUGAUACGUAGCCGACCUGAGAGGGUAAUCGGCCACAUUGGGACUGAGACACGGCCCAAACUCCUACGGGAGGCAGCAGUAGGGAAUCUUCCA
rnacentral:rRNA from 1 species